GAUGAACGCUGACAGAAUGCUUAACACAUGCAAGUCUUUGGCGAAGCUGUGCUUGCACAGCCUAGCCAAGGCGGACGGGUGAGUAACGCGUAAGGAACUUGCCCUGCAGUCAGGGAUAACAGACGGAAACGACUGAUAAGACCUGGUAAAGUCAGGCGGACUCAUGUCCAGCCUGAUGAAAAGUGAUGCUGCAGGAGAGCCUUGCGUCCUAUUAGCUUGUUGGUGGGGUAACGGCCCACCAAGGCGAUGAUAGGUAGCCGGCCUGAGAGGGUGGACGGCCACAAGGGGACUGAGAUACGGCCCUUACUCCUACGGGAGGCAGCAGUUGGGAAUAUUGGAAAAUGGGGGCAACCCUGAUACAGAAAUUCUGUGUGGACGAUGAAGGUUUUCGGAUUGUAAAGUGCUUUCAGCAGGGAAGAAAAAAAUGACGGUACCUGCAGAAGAAGCGACGGCUAAAUACGUG
rnacentral:rRNA from 1 species